rnacentral:rRNA from 1 species
AAGGAGCCUGAGAAACGGCUACUACAUCCAAGGAAGGCAGCAGGCGCGCAAAUUACCCAAUCCCGACACGGGGAGGUAGUGACAAUAAAUACUGAUACAGGGCUCUUUCGGGUCUUGUAAUCGGAAUGAGUACAAUUUAAAUCCCUUAACGAGGAACAAUUGGAGGGCAAGUCUGGUGCCAGCAGCCGCGGUAAUUCCAGCUCCAAUAGCGUAUAUUAAAGUUGUUGAGGUUAAAAAGCUCGUAGUUGAACCUUGGGCCUAGCCGGCCGGUCCGCCUCACCGCGUGCACUGGCUCGGCUGGGUCUUUCCUUCUGGAGAACCUCAUGCCCUUCACUGGGUGUGAUGGGGAACCAGGACUUUUACUCUGAACAAAUUAGAUCGCUUAAAGAAGGCCUAUGCUCGAAUACAUUAGCAUGGAAUAAUAGAAUAGGACGUGUGGUUCUAUUUUGUUGGUUUCUAGGACCGCCGUAAUGAUUAAUAGGGACAGUCGGGGGCAUCAGUAUUCAAUUGUCAGAGGUGAAAUUCUUGGAUUUAUUGAAGACUAACUACUGCGAAAGCAUUUGCCAAGGAUGUUUUCAUUAAUCAGGAACGAAAGUUAGGGGAUCGAAGACGAUCAGAUACCGUCGUAGUCUUAACCAUAAACUAUGCCGAUUAGGGAUCGGACGGCGUUAUUUUUUGACCCGUU